rnacentral:rRNA from 1 species
UACGGGGGGAGCAAGCGUUGUUCGGAUUUACUGGGCGUAAAGGGCGCGUAGGCGGUCAGCACAAGUCAGUUGUGAAAUCUCCGGGCUUAACUCGGAAAGGUCAACUGAUACUGUGCGACUAGAGUGCAGAAGGGGCAACUGGAAUUCUCGGUGUAGCGGUGAAAUGCGUAGAUAUCGAGAGGAACACCAGUGGCGAAGGCGAGUCCCUGGACAACACCUGACACUGAGGCACGAAAGCUAGGGGAGCAAACAGG